GGCGCGUUGGUCCAGUUGGCACGGAUCCCCGGUUCUCGCCCGGGAGACACGGGUUCGAGUCCCGUACGCGCUA
rnacentral:tRNA from 1 species